CCGGUACAAUGCGCUUCGAUAGCGAAAGCUGGAGAUUAAUCGCACCAAAACCGGUCUCAGUUCGGAUUGAGGUCUGAAACCCGACCUCAUGAAGCUGGAAUCGCUAGUAAUCGCCAAUCAGCUACGUGGCGAUGAAUACGUUCCUGAGUCUUGUACUCACCGCCCGUCAAGCCAAGCGAGCUGGGGAUAGCCGAAGUUCCUCGCAAGAGGGCCUAAGCUAGAUUCAGUAAGAGGGGCUAAGUCGUAACAAGGCACGGGUAGCGGAAGCUGCUCGUGGAUCAU
rnacentral:rRNA from 1 species